CUACGCCCCAGGUAACCUUAACACAGGGCCCCUACGCCCCAGGUAACCCUAACACAGGGCCCCUACGCCCCAGGUAACCUUAACACAGGGUCCCUACGCCCCAGGUAACCCUAACUCAGGGCCCCUACGCCCCAGGUAACCUUAACACAGGGCCCCUACGCCCCAGGUAACCCUAACACAGGGCCCCUACGCCCCAGGUAACCUUAACACAGGGCCCCUACGCCCCAGGUGACCCUAACACAGGGCCCCUACGCCCCAGGUAACCCUAACUCAGGGUCCCUACGCCCCAGGUAACCCUAACACAGGGCCCCUACGCCCCAGGUAACCCUAACUCAGGGCCCUUACGCCCCAGGUAACCCUAACUCAGGGUCCCUACGCCCCAGGUAACCCUAACUCAGGGUCCCUACGCCUCAGGUAACCCUAACUCAGGGCCCCUACGCCCCAGGUAACCCUAACUCAGGGCCCCUACGCCCCAGGUAACCCUAACUUAAGGCCCCUACUCCUCAGGUAACCCUAACACAGGGCCCCUACGCCCCAGGUAACCCUAAAUCAGGGUCCUUACUCCCCAGGUAACCCUAACUCAGGGUCCCUACGUCCCAGGUAACCCUAACUCAGGACCCUUACGCCCCAGGUAACCCUAACUCAGGGUCCCUACUCCCCAGGUAACCCUAGCUUAAGGUCCUUACACACCAGGUAACCUUUCACUGGACUUCCACAGCACACCCACUCCCACAGUUACACCCCAUCCCCCUUUCAGCAAUUCUCCUGUGCUUUACAAUACUCCCCAUGGCUAAGCAAAAGUUAAUGAUCUAUAUUUAGCCAUUACAGACGGCUUUCGGAAGUUUACUGUGCUUUACUUGACACUUCGUUCAGGAAGCAUUUCCGCAGUUAUAUAAGCCCCCCACCGGAAAUCAGAUUUCAGUUGUUUGCGAAAAGCUUGGCGUGGAUGCUGGUUAUUUAAGCCGUUCUGGCUCCCUGCUCAUCCUGUCUGACACUUGUCUUCAUAAUACACCCUUUGUCAUCCACUGCUUCUGUGUAUUGCUUUACAAAUUGAAAGACACGAUCCCCGUACACGCCCUGGGCACUCUCAUGUACCAGGACCUGCGUGACACUCCCCAAAA